CUUCCCCUUCCCCUUCCCCUUCGCGGGGCACGGAGCCGGGGGCGAUGCUCGCGGGCGGGCGGCCCUUCAGGGAAGCGCACCCAACUCCGCGGGCUGAGCCGAAAGCCACGUGCGGGGCUGCGGAAGAGCAGCUGAUGCCCAGGAGCAGCAGGGCCUGGCUGCACGGGGGCACGGCCCUAGUAGCAGAGGACGUUACAUGUGCUGCGCGUCCUUGCUCCCUCAGGCCCUACUUGGCUUAAGGCAGCAGUUUCCAUACUGUGGAUCACGACCCUAAAGAGGGUUGCAACAUCAGCAGCUAGGGUUGUGAGAUUUCUGCGCCCACAGCGAGCACAGGGUUGCAACGGGGCUGGACCAGUUCUGGGCAGAAGCCACCUCCACAGCCCAGCAAGAAGGACCCCGCACAGGAGGGAGCACUGCCCUGUCAUAGACCCUAAAGGGCAUUCUUAUUGCUCUAGGUUCUGUCUCGGGGAGAUGCAUUCCCAUCCCCAACUUUUUCAAACACGAGUGAGAGUGGAUCAGAAACCUGUGAGGUGAACAAAGAGCCAAGUUAGAAGGAAAAGGUCAGCAGCACAAACACAUCAUAUUGCAACAAAACAACCCAGCCCCACCAACUGCCGUGCUCUUUUAGAAGCUUCUCCCCUGUCAUGCUCCUGUGUCGAGUCUAAGCUACAAGCCAAAGGGAACUCUACGCACACCACUACAGGCAGAAUUUGAGGCACUGGUUGAUGAACAGGGACACCAGUUACAUCCUGGCUGCAGUCUCGGCUCCAACAAGAAUCUGACAGUAACACCCGUACCCUAGGACUGUGGAGAGAAGGUUGUGCAAGGAGGGGUAGUAGGAGUGCUGUGUGGGGGGCAGCGUGAAUUGGUCAAAAAUAAAUUGGAGUCCAAGGCCAGAGUCUAAGGCCUCCCAUGUGACAGCUAAGAAUCUGCCUAAUCAAGUCAACUCUUCCUUUGUUCAUUCCUGUGCCCUGACAACCUCAGUCCUUUUGAGAAGAGGAAGAACUGACAGCACCAGAAAUAGCCACAAUGGCCUGGAUGGAGCUGGUGAAAGAAACAGCUCUGGCUCCUAAAGCCCAGAAAGCCCUGGUAUGCCAGGAUGCAAAGAGAAAAGCCAGCUCUGGGGACAGGGUUCCCUGUUAGCAGGUGUUGACACCUGAAGCCCAGCAGUGCCAUCCAUUCACCUGGCCUCUGAGCAGCAAUUGAAACCUCUGACCAAUGGCAGCUCCUUGGCAGCCUGGCUGCCCCUCUGCCACAUAAGACAGCAGAGGGACGGAGGAGGCCCCCCAUCAAUAGUCUGAUAUCCAAACCAGGUAGGUCCCAUGAAUUUAAAUCAGGAACAUAAAGUUUGGGCAGACCUUCCAUUCCUGGGGAUGCAGAGGGCAGAUGAGCUAGCUGUGGGCCAAAUCCUGGAUGGGUCCUGGUUCACAUGGAACCAGACAUCAUAGGAUACAGCUCAUGGCAUGAUCAGAGUGUUUAUGCUGAAGCACAGACAGCUUCAGCACAGACCAUAACAUGAGAUGUAGAUGGAAAGAGGUGGGUUAGGAGUCACAGGUGACUUCACAACCUCCUCCAGGGGACCACUAAAUACCAGUUUAGAUGGCUUAAGAUUCUUCCUGAGGUAAGAGGGAACAAGAGAAAGGAGUAGGCAGCCCUGCAGGGCAGGAGAAGAGUUUUGUCUAUACAGGAAAAUGGGCCAAAUAGCUUGGCAGACCAGCUCUUGUGUAGUCAUUACUCUGCACUAGCUCCCUAAAUGGGCAUUCUCAUUCUACAUUAAAAGUGAUUUUGCUUAAUCCACUCCCAAAGUGAACUGAACUAAUCUGCACAGAGGCACACUUGUGGAAUCAGAGUGUCCACAGGGGGAUGGAGUCCAGAAGACCUUCUGCCCUAUAAAAUUCAUAUCCUGGCUGAUUUUGCAAUAGGUACCCUGAAUGGCCAGUUCGGGAAAACAUUUAAGCUGAAAAUCUCUGUUUGAGAAGGCAGUCCUGCCUUGUGUCUGAGCUCCUUCAGUGAAACAGUGCAGGCACAUCUCUUUGGAUAUGGUUUUCCAUAUGCAGGAGGACUGCAAACUCUGAAGGGAGGUUCCCACUUCAUGUAUUUUUCAUUGCUCUGGUGUUGCAAGGACUUGAAAGAUCAAGCCAAGAGAAGAGGGUAGAGCAUGACAGAAGCAAUUGAGCUGGACUUGGAGAGGAGCAGCUGGCAGGCUGCCUUAAGAAAUAACUGGAAAGGAAC